GUGUCAGCCGCCGCGGUAAUACGUAGGGUGCGAGCGUUAAUCGGAAUUACUGGGCGUAAAGCGUGCGCAGGCGGUUUGGUAAGUCAGAUGUGAAAUCCCCGGGCUCAACCUGGGAACUGCAUUUGAGACUGCCAAGCUGGAGUUUGGCAGAGGGGGGUGGAAUUCCACGUGUAGCAGUGAAAUGCGUAGAGAUGUGGAGGAACACCGAUGGCGAAGGCAGCCCCCUGGGCCAAUACUGACGCUCAUGCACGAAAGCGUGGGGAGCAAACAGGAUUAGAUACCCUGGUAGUCCACGCCCUAAACGAUGUCAACUAGGUGUUGGGAGGGUUAAACCUUUUAGUGCCGUAGCUAACGCGUGAAGUUGACCGCCUGGGGAGUACGGCCGCAAGGCUAAAACUCAAAUAAAUUGACGG
rnacentral:rRNA from 1 species